AAAAAAAAAGUCACUCGAGACUGUUUUGGAAACAAAGCGAGUAGAUGUAAAAUAAGCAUGAUUUUGUGGGUUUACCCCUACAGAAAUCGACGACACGCGCUCAACGCGAGGUUGGUGCGAGUGGGCGUGGUCUGUAGCGCGUGGCACGAGGUUGGUGCGAGUGGGCGUUUUCUGGUGCGCUCUGAUUGGCUAAAAAAAUGAAAAUAGUAGUGAUGCUCCUCCUCUAUUAUUUUGUUUUUCGUCAUUCCUCGGUUAUGAAAGUUGUGUGGUUUUAAGAUGGAAUUGAGUUUAUUCUGAGGUUUUUAGUUAUUUUGAAAUCAUUGAUUAAUGUCACCAAAAAAAAUAGAAACUAGAUUUUGAGAUACUAAAAUUUUCAUUUUCAUUUUGUUCUGCAACCAUUGAAAACUAGAUUCAGCUGAGCCCCUGAAGAAAUCAAAGUGAGUUGAAUAUUUUUCUAUAAAUGUGAAAAUUGGUAAAAGUUUGUCCUCAUUUUGUUAGUUUAAUGUUUUCUUGACUUUAGGAGAUGAACUUUCAACUGCAAAGAUCCCAUCACACAUU
rnacentral:sRNA from 1 species